rnacentral:rRNA from 1 species
GACGAACGCUGGCGGCGUGCUUAACACAUGCAAGUCGAGCGAUGAAGUUCCUUCGGGAAUGGAUUAGCGGCGGACGGGUGAGUAACACGUGGGUAACCUGCCUCAUAGAGGGGAAUAGCCUUCCGAAAGGAAGAUUAAUACCGCAUAAGAUUGUAGCUUCGCAUGAAGUAGCAAUUAAAGGAGUAAUCCGCUAUGAGAUGGACCCGCGUCGCAUUAGCUAGUUGGUGAGGUAACGGCUCACCAAGGCGACGAUGCGUAGCCGACCUGAGAGGGUGAUCGGCCACAUUGGGACUGAGACACGGCCCAGACUCCUACGGGAGGCAGCAGUGGGGAAUAUUGCACAAUGGGGGAAAUCCUGAUGCAGCAACGCCGCGUGAGUGAUGACGGUCUUCGGAUUGUAAAACUCUGUCUUCAGGGACGAUAAUGACGGUACCUGAGGAGGAAGCCACGGCUAACUGCGUGCCAGCAGCCGCGGUAAUAC